rnacentral:rRNA from 1 species
ACGUAGGUGGCAAGCGUUGUUCGGAAUUACUGGGCGUAAAGGGCGCGUAGGCGGCGUAUUAAGUCAGCUGUGAAAUCUCCGAGCUUAACUCGGAACGGUCAGCUGAUACUGAUGUGCUAGAGUGCAGAAGGGGCAAUCGGAAUUCUUGGUGUAGCGGUGAAAUGCGUAGAUAUCAAGAGGAACACCUGAGGUGAAGACGGGUUGCUGGGCUGACACUGACGCUGAGGCACGAAAGCGUGGGGAGCAAACAGGA